rnacentral:rRNA from 1 species
GGACUACUCGGGUUUCUAAUCCCGUUCGCUCCCCUGGCUUUCGUGUCUCAGCGUCAGCACACCCCCAGCGAGUUGUUUUCACCAUUGGCGUUCCAAAUGAUAUCUACGCAUUUCACCGCUCCACCAUUUGUUCCACUCGCCCCUAGGUGGCUCAAGACUCCCAGUAUACCGAGCAGUUCCACGGGUAAGCCGUGGGAUUUCACAAGGUACUUAGAAGUCCGCCUACACACGCUUUAAGCCCAGUGAUUCCGCCUAACGCUCGAGGCCUCUGUAUUACCGCGGCUGCUGGCAC